rnacentral:lncRNA from 1 species
GCGACGCCCGGGGCCCGCGGCUGGAGGGGGAGUCGCUGCCUCACCCGCGCCUGGCGCCCGCGGCUCCCUCCGCCUCGCCGGCGUUGGCCCACCCUCUCGUAGCUCACCCCGCGAGGCUGGACAGCUCCCGGAACCCCGGAACCGGGAUCUAUUUCGGGGGCUCGGCCGCGUGGCGCCCAGGACUCUCCAGGGUCUCCCAGGAUCGCUCCCCGGAUUCGAGUCGCCCCCUCUCUCUUUCGGGAAUACCAGCUGAUGUCAGUCCGCCAGCCAAAACCAGGGAGGAGAAGCGGGAGCCGGCCCUCUGGAGUCGGGAGAAGGUCUGGGGAGUGGGGUAGAGGGGAAAGCAAAGUCCAAAUACCUUCCCUUCAGACACCUCCUGGGGCCUAGACCCCACAAACCUGUUGUGGGGAGGGCAAAAUACGAUGACUACGUUCCCAGGAAGAAGGUGCCACAGCUCUUCAGGACCACGGUUGGGAGAAAGAAGGGAGGGGUUUUAGAACCUUCAGUGUGCGACUUCAUGUGCCAGUCUUCAUCUCAGGAUCUCAAGCUCUUGGAUCAUGGGCACGGAUAACCUGUUGUCCUCCUCUAUGGUCAAGAGGCUGCUUUUGCAAAGAAUCCAGUGGGAGAGAGUCAAUGGCCUGCUUGACGUGAACUCCAAAGUCCUCCUGGCCAAGGGUCAUCCUGCCUGGAGCAGGGCAAGAGGUGACUUGACCCUUAGGAAGAGUGGCAUCUCUAAUCUUCAACUUCCACCACCACCACACACACAAAUGCAGAGCCAUCCAGGAGGAAGUAAAAAGUGCUAGGGCCUUCUACACCUUGAAAUUAUAUGUGGAGCAUCCUGCAAUAAGC